AUGGGUGGUAUAUGUGCAGCAUGCUUUAACUUUAUUUGUACUCCACCCGGACAGUGCACGACAAGCAUUUGUCAGUGGUGGACUCUUCUCAGGCUGUUGUUCUCUCUCUCCUAUGGGGACACUGAUCAAUCAUUUCUGCCAAAGCAAGCACUAGAUCUGUACAACAAGGAAAUCUCUGGAAUAAAAAUUGCAGAAUUAACACCACAGGAGACAUCAGGCAGGCAAAACACUUGGCUUUGGAACCGAUUUAAGCCAAAAGACAUGUCGGUCGUGUAUCGGAACCACUACAAUUACAUGAAUGCAUUGCCCUUAGAGCAUCUAUCAUACUGACUAAAGAGAAUGUUACUAUUUUGCUAUAUCCAAGAAACUAAUCACAAAAGCUAUCACAACCAAGAAUAUUGUCAGUGAAUGCUGGUACUGCCUUCCACUACAAGAUGCCACAGUAUUUUGUUUUUAAGAAACCCUAUUUCCCCUUAGCAGUUGAAUUACACCACCAUGCUUCUCUCUGAUACUAUCAUUAAUUUGUUGCAUCUCUCCAAUAAUCUAAUUAAAAGUUAAGAGCGUUUUCUAAACUUUAUUUGAUUUAUAUAC
rnacentral:lncRNA from 1 species